rnacentral:ncRNA from 1 species
UACGCGAGCUGGGUUCAGAACGUCGUGAGACAGUUCGGUCCCUAUCCGUCGCAGGCGUAGGAAAUUUGAGGAGACCUGUCCUUAGUACGAGAGGACCGGGAUGGACGUACCUCUGGUGUACCAGUUGUCCUGCCAAGGGCAUGGCUGGGUAGCUAUGUACGGAAUGGAUAAGCGCUGAAAGCAUCUAAGCGCGAAGCCAACUUCAAGAUAAGAUUUCCCACCGUAAGGGUAAGAUCCCAGGAAGACUACCUGGUUGAUAGGUCGGAGGUGUAAGUGCAGCAAUGUAUGUAGCUUACCGAUACUAAUAGAUCGAGGACUUGACCAA